UGCUGGCCGGCCGGCGCAGCGCAGCCACACCGACGACGCCCGUCGUGCCAUCCCCAGAGGAGCAGCUGGUGGAGCUCAGCCCGUCCUACCCCUCUCCGAUUUGUUUUGCUAGACCGCCUAGCCUCCUCCACCUCUUCAUCGUCACCAAGGACGCCGGCCAGCAACAGAACAAUGGCCCUCCUCUUGCUGGAGAAACAAUUAUACAGAAGAUUAGGCCCUAAUAUUGAUGGUCUCCAGGGCUAGGGUUCUAUAUUUUCGCAGAGAAGAAAAGCACGUAGAAAUCCUCUUCAGAGAAUAAUUGUUUUCCAGCAAGCUGACUUUUGGUUAUUCAUUGCAGAUCUGCAUACUCCUUUAACUCUUAUAUUGACUCUCAGUUUGUGCAUGAAUGAUGAAUCCGUAAUGUGCCUUCUCUUUGCUAAUGAAUUGCAGGCACUUACACUAUUAUUUGCUUGAAUUUUGUUACAGAGCUAAAGGGUUCUUCAGUUUGCAGUAGGCUGUAGCCUUCAUAACUACAGGCAAAGGCAGCUGAGUCCGGAACCAAGAAUGACAGCCUAGGCGGCUUGUUUAUACGAUGUUUCCCUUAUUGCACCUUGGUUGGGCGGUGAGGUUGAGGUGUUGUGCGGCAGGGUAACCAACCAAGGCCUAUUGUGUCCGCUGUCCCUGCAUUGAUGCCACAUCCACCCUAGCUAUCAUGUCGUCGUAGUUGAGGUCUUCCAAAGAUGAAACCAUACUGGAUAAUAAAGUUUAUGAAUCGGGUACAACUCCCAUGGGAAGGCAGCGGCAAUGCCUUAUAAUUUUUUAGGUUCCUAAUGGAAUGUUAUCUUUUCCUUGAUUCUGCAAUCCUCAAAGAAAUUACACGAAUUCUAUGGUGACCUAUCCAUUGAGUGAGCUCACCCUGGGCUGGCUGUAGCAUCACUGUGGAGGAACCGAUGAUGGUCCCAUAAAAUACACUGACAUAGUGUUUCAGGACAAACAGGUGUGGUAUAUGGUGUCUAAAGAGAGCCCCAGAGUCGCCCGAGCCAGGGAAAGGUUCACGAGAGACAUGCUGCUUUGGCUUGAGCACAACACAAGGUCUGAUUGAGUUCAAGUGUGAGAGCAGCAGUAAAAAUAAUUGGGUUCGUGGUGUACAAAAUCUGCCCCAGCAGGUUGAUGUAACUGAUCAGUAAAUUAUAGAACUGAGGAGCCACAAUAUCCCAACAAGUCUUAGGAAAACAACAGUUAAAGCCAUCAGGACUUGGAGCUUUGUCACUAGGAAUGCAGCCUUGAUAUAUUCGAUUUUGAAAAUUUGUUGAAGUUCCAUUCCCGGAGUGUGAGGAUUCUUUAUUGCUCUAAUUCAUCAACUGAGCAAGCACCAUUUGACAUUUUCAACAAAUAAAGAUAGCUGAGACAAGUACUUGUUCCAUUCUUUCAAUGCAGUUCUUACAUUAUUCAGUUUAGUAUUCAGAAUAAUUGUUGGAUUGUUGCUCUAACAGGUAUUUUCCAAGCAUUACUUACUGUUUCUUCAAAUCCUAGAUGUUGACCCAAAUAUUCUCAAUCUGAAAUGCCUUACUUCUGGGGAUUUUUUUGUUUCGUGCCAGAUUCAGUGCCAAAGAAAGAAAUAUUUACAUGGGACUGGUUAGCUAACCUGACUGUAAUUUAGAAAUGCCGAGAGCUUAGCCACGCAACGAAAAGGGCAGGGUUGUGAUCUAAAAUAAUUAACUGGUUAUACAAUUUAUUUCUUAUGGUUGUUUCAAAACCUAUUUAUUCAUAUGAUAGGGUCCUCACUAGGAGGCAUAAAAGGCAAGCAUAUGAUCGCCUCAAGGCACUCGUGAUACUAGACCACUUCUAAACCAUGGCAAUACAUGUUGCUCAAGUAUAUGUCAAGAGUCAAUUUUCUCUUCAGGCUGCUAGCAAUGGAUGCAAAAUUAAAAUACCUGUGGAUAUACAAAUUUUAUAUCAUUCCAAGUGAAACCUCAAUUGCUUAUAAUUACUAGAUUUCAAAGCAUACAAUUAUCAGCGGAUACAUAGAAUGUGAGAAGAGACAAUAUCGUGUGAUCCUCUCUCUGACCACCCAUGGUUCCUCUCUUCAUGGUUGUCAUCGUCCUAGACCCUAGAGAUUGAGCCAGUCUUAGAAUCUACCAUCUUCAAUCAAGGCAUUCGUGAGAGUAAUUAUGGGAAGUUGCAAACACUUGGUUGGGAAAGGAAUAGCCGAACUGAUAAAACGGUAUACAUUCACUAGCUACAAUGAUAUCUCCGAAGUAGAUGUAGAUAGAACAUGGGAGAAGGAUCUUGAUGGCAUUGCUCUUGUGGAUUUCAUUAACUCGAUUUAACGUCAAAUUAUUCCUUCAGUAGAUGGCUCAGGUUAUGUGGAUUUUCUUUCUGAACUUCUGUUGCUCUUGACAUAUCUCCAUGAGUGUUUGCUACUAUAAUAUAUACCUCGGUUUUCCUGGUUGUAUAUAAAUAUUCCUACUUUGUUUUUA